GGAGAGAUGGCCGAGUGGCUGAAGGCGCACGCUUGGAAAGCGUGUAUACCGCAAGGUAUCCAGGGUUCGAAUCCCUGUCUCUCCGCCA
rnacentral:tRNA from 22 species